UACAGAGGUCCCAAGCGUUGUUCGGAUUCAUUGGGCGUAAAGGGUGCGUAGGUGGCCACUUCAAGCGUGCGGUGAAAGCGCGGGGCUCAACCCUGCGUCGGCCAUGAAUACUGCCGCGGCUGGAGCACUGUAGAGGCAGGCGGAAUUCCGGGUGUAGCGGUGGAAUGCGUAGAGAUCCGGAAGAACACCGGUGGCGAAGGCGGCCUGCUGGGCAGUUGCUGACACUGAGGCGCGACGAGCGUGGGGAGCAAACAGG
rnacentral:rRNA from 1 species